CAAGUACUCCCUCCGUCCGAAAAUACUUGUCAUCAAAAUGGACAAAAAGAGAUGUAUCUAAAACUAAAAUACAUCUAGAUAUACCCCCUUUUAUUCAAUUUGAUGACAAGUAUUUCCGGACGGAGGGAGUAGUAU
rnacentral:pre_miRNA from 1 species